AUUGAACGCUGGCGGCAGGCCUAACACAUGCAAGUCGAACGAGUGGCGGACGGGUGAGUAAUGUCUGGGAAACUGCCUGAUGGAGGGGGAUAACUACUGGAAACGGUAGCUAAUACCGCAUACCAUCAGAUGUGCCCAGAUGGGAUUAGCUAGUGGGUGGGGUAACGGCUCACCAAGGCGACGAUCCCUAGCUGGUCUGAGAGGAUGACCAGCCACACUGGAACUGAGACACGAACCAGACCCCUACGGGAGGUGGCACUGGGGAAUAUUGCACAAGGGGCGCAAGCCAGAUGCAGCCAUACCGCGUGUAUGAGGAAGGCCUGCGGGUUGUAAAGUACUGUCAGCGGGGAGGCGUUACCCGCAGAAGAGGCACCGGCUAACUCCGUGUCAGCAGCCGCGGUAAUUC
rnacentral:rRNA from 1 species